UACAGAGGUCCCGAGCGUUGUUCGGAUUCACUGGGCGUAAAGGGUGCGUAGGUGGCUUGAAAAGUUUGAUGUGAAAGCUCAGGGCUUAACCCUGAAAUGGCAUUGAAAACUGUCGGGCUGGAGGUUUGGAGGGGGGACUGGAAUUCUUGGUGUAGCAGUGAAAUGCGCAGAUAUCAGGAGGAACACCGGUGGCGAAGGCGGUUCUCUGGGCAUUACCUGACGCUGAGGAGCGAAAGUGUGGGGAGCGAACAGG
rnacentral:rRNA from 1 species